rnacentral:rRNA from 1 species
AUUGAACGCUGGCGGCAGGCCUAACACAUGCAAGUCGAACGAGUCGCGGGCGGGUGAGACACGUGGGGGAAACUCCUUGAUGGAGGGGGAUAACUCCUGGAAACGGUAGCUAUAACCGAAUAGCAUCAGAUUUUCCCAGGUGGGGUUGGCUAGUUGGUAGGGUAACGGCUCACCAAGUCCACGAUCCCUAGCUGGUCUGAGAGGAUGACCAGCCACACUGGAACUGAGACACGGUCCAGACGCCUACGGGAGGCAGCAGUGGGGAAUAUUGCACAAUGGGCGCAAGCCUGACGCAGCCAUGCCGCGUGUAUGAAGAAGGCCUUCGGGUUGUAAAGUACUUUCAGCGGGGAGGCGGUACCCGCACAAGAAGCACCGGCUAACUCCGUGCCAGCAGCCGCGGUAAUUC